rnacentral:rRNA from 1 species
GGGUGCGAUCAUACCAGCGUUAAUGCACCGGAUCCCAUCAGAACUCCGCAGUUAAGCGCGCUUGGGCUAGAGUAGUACUGGGAUGGGUGACCUCCCGUGAAGUCCUAGUGUUGCACCCUU